rnacentral:tRNA from 1 species
GACCCUGUCGUCUAGCCAGGCCCAGGACGCCACCCUUUCAAGGUGGAGACCGAGGGUUCGAAUCCCUCCGGGGUCACCA